UUGAACGCUGGCGGCAUGCCUUACACAUGCAAGUCGAACGGUAGAGGGGCAACCCUUGAGAGUGGCGAACGGGUGAGUAAUGCAUCGGAACGUGCCCAGUCGUGGGGGAUAACGCAGCGAAAGCUGUGCUAAUACCGCAUGUGAUCUGUGGAUGAAAGCAGGGGACCGCAAGGCCUUGUGCGAUUGGAGCGGCCGAUGUCAGAUUAGCUAGUUGGUAGGGUAAAAGCCUACCAAGGCAACGAUGCAUAGCCG
rnacentral:rRNA from 1 species